CUGAGGGGGGGUGCUAUACAUGCAGUCGAGCGAAGAGAUGGGAGCUUGCUCCCUGAUCUUAGCGGCGGACGGGUGAGUAACACGUGGGCAACCUGCCCUGCAGACUGGGAUAACUCCGGGAAACCGGAGCUAAUACCGGGUAAUACAUCGCACCGCAUGGUGCAAUGUUGAAAGUUGGCCUUUGGAUAACACUGCGGGAUGGGCCCGCGGCGCAUUAUCUAUUUGGUAAGGUAACGGCUUACCAAGGCGACAAUGCGUAUCCGACCUGAGAGGGUGAUCGGCCACACUGGGACUGAGACACGGCCCACACUCCUACGGGAGGCAGCAGUAGGGAAUCUUCCCCAAUGGACAAAAGUCUGACAGAGCAACGCCCCGUGAGUGACAAAAGCCUUCUGGUCGUAAAGCUCUGUUGUUAGGGAAAAACAAGUACCGUUCGAAUAGGGCGGUACCUUGACGGUACCUAACCACAAAGCCACGGCUAACUACGUGCCACCAGCCGCGGUAAUACAUAUGUGGGAAGCGUUGUCCGGAAUUAUUGGGCGUAAAGCGCGCGCACGCGGUCUUUUAAGUCUGAUGUGAAAGCCCACGGCUCAACCGUGGAGGGUCAUUGUAAACUGGAGGACUUGAGUGCGCAAAAGAAGAGUGGAAUUCCACGUGUAUCGGUGAAAUGCGUAUAUAUGUGGAGGAACACCAGUGGCGAAAGCGGCUCUCUGGUCUGUAACUGACACUGAGACGCGAAAGCGUGGGGAGCAAACAGGAUUAUAUACCCUGGGAGUCCACGCCGUAUACGAUGAGUGCUAUGUGUUGGGGGGUUCCACCCUCACUGCUGAAAUUAACACAUUAUACACUCCGCCUGGGGAGUACGACCGCAAGGUUGAAACUCACAGGAGUUGACGGGGGGCCCGCACAAGCAGUGGAGCAUGUGGGUUAAUUCUAAGCAACGCGAGAACCUUACAACGGCUCGACAUCCUCUGACAUCCUGGAGACAGGACAUUCUCCUCUUGGGGGACACAGUGACACGUGUUGCAUGGUUGUCGUCAGCUCUGUGUGAGAUGUUGGGUUAAUUUCGCAACGAGAGCAACUUGAUCUUAGUUGUCAGCAUC
rnacentral:rRNA from 1 species